UGGGGAAUAUUGCACAAUGGAGGGAACUCUGAUGCAGCAACGCCGCGUGCGGGAUGACGGCCUUCGGGUUGUAAACCGCUUUCAGCCAUGACGAAGCUUUUGUGACGGUAGUGGUAGAAGAAGCACCGGCUAACUACGUGCCAGCAGCCGCGGUGAUACGUAGGGUGCGAGCGUUGUCCGGAAUUAUUGGGCGUAAAGAGCUUGUAGGCGGUUUGUCGCGUCGAUAGUGUAAACACGCAGCUUAACUGUGUGCCUGCUGUCGAUACGGGCUGACUAGAGGAGGGUAGGGGAGAAUGGAAUUCCCGGUGGAGCGGUGGAAUGCGCAGAUUUCGGGAGGAACACCAGUGGCGAAGGCGGUUCUCUGGACCUUUCCUGACGCUGAGAAGCGAAAGCGUGGGUAGCAAACAGG
rnacentral:rRNA from 1 species